GAUGAACGCUGGCGGCGUGCCUAAUACAUGCAAGUAGAACGCUGAAGGAGGAGCUUGCUCUUCUGGAUGAGUUGCGAACGGGUGAGUAACGCGUAGGUAAUCUGCCUGGUAGCGGGGGAUAACUAUUGGAAACGAUAGCUAAUACCGCAUGACAACAGUUAUUGCAUGAUAACUGUUUAAAAGGGGCAACUGCUCCACUACCAGAUGGACCUGCGUUGUAUUAGCUAGUUGGUGAGGUAACGGCUCACCAAGGCGACGAUACAUAGCCGACCUGAGAGGGUGAUCGGCCACACUGGGACUGAGACACGGCCCAGACUCCUACGGGAGGCAGCAGUAGGGAAUCGUCGGCAAUGGACGGAAGUCUGACCGAGCAACGCCGCGUGAGUGAAGAAGGUUGUCGGAUCGUAAAGCUCUGUUGUAAGAGAAGAACGAGUGUGAGAGUGGAAAGUUCACACUGUGACGGUAUCUGACCAGAAAGGGACGGCUAACUACGUG
rnacentral:rRNA from 1 species